AUGGCGGAACGAAAGGGGUGCCAUAGCGACGAAUCCACAAAUGAAGCCACGACAACAUAUCAGUUCCGGGUCUUCGGACUUGCCGGACUCGUCAACUCGAAAAGGUACUUGGCGUUCUUGGCGAUUCCAAAGACGGAGGUACUUGUCGAAUCCACGAAGACGUUUCUUAGCAUCCCUGGUUGUCGGGUCUUGGCAGCGACUAGAGCGGCAGCAAGGCCGACGGUUCAGCAGGGGGGGUUGGAGCUUGUGAUGCCCGAAAAGGGGGGCGCGGAUCAGCAGCAUGGAGGGAGCAAUGGCAGGGCGAGGUGGAGGUGCACGGGAUGCCCGUCGUCAUCUCCUCGAACGAGGGCAGAGGCAGGAGGUCAACGCAAGCGGAGGCUCGCUGUGAAGCAGGUGCAAUGUGCCGCUGAACUUGACGAAUUCCGGCGAGGCCGACAGGGGUGCAGGGUCGGUCGGGUCUGGAUGGAGGCGGCGCGGACAUGCUCGAGGCUGACGGCUGGCGAGAUGGUGAAGGUGCUGCAGCAGCGGAGGACCUACGAGGAGGAAGAAGGCGGAGGACAUGGGGUCGCGAAGGCGGGGGCGGGCCAGCCUGGUACUGCGGGGCUGGUGUCCAUGGGAGCUCCUGCUCCUGCCGAAGACGACGACGACAGACCUGUGAGACGGGGCGGCAGUAAGAGAAAACGCGACGAGAGGAAGAGGGAGGCCAUGGAUCGGGCAUGA
rnacentral:rRNA from 1 species